UUAUAACUAAUUAAAUGUUGUUAUUAUUAUUAAUUAAUUGAACUUAAGUUAAACUGACAGCCCUAAUUUUAAUAUACUUUACAAUACAAUUUAUUUUUUGUGAUGCAAAGCUGAAUUUUUAGCAUCAUUAUAAUAUUUUGUUGGAAACUGCAAAAUAGAAAUCUUUUGUGACAAUGUAGACUACUUUUCAAAAGUUUAGGCUCAGUAAAGAUUUAUAUUGUUAGAAAAGAUUUACAUUUUGAAUAAUUGUGUGUGUUUUUUUUUUUUUUUUUUUUUUUUUUUACUUUAUAUUCAUCAAAAAAUCCUGAAAAUGUAUCACCGGUUCAAAAAAAUAAAAAAUAAGCAGCACAGCUGUUUCUAGCAUUGAUGAUAAAUCAGAUAUUAGAAUGAUUUCUGAAAGAUCAUGUGCCACUGAAGACUGGAUUAAUGAUGCUGAAAACCCAUCUUUGGUCACAGAAAUUAUAUUGUGAAGUAUAUUAACAUGCUAUUUUUCACCAUUUUUUCACCCUGUAUAAGAGACUUAUUUAAAAACAUUUAAAAUCCCACUGGUCCCAAAAUUUUGAACGGCAGUGUACUUCAUGUUAAUCUAAUGUUAAAUUGAGUGUUGAAUUGCGCUUAGUCUCGCGAGAUUUUAAUUGUGUCAUUUGUUUGAAGGCAGGCGAUUGGCUGUUCGGUGCUGAUGUUGCGCUUUCCUGUGCGCGCUGCAAGAACACGGCAUCAAAUCCCUAGUCGACGAAGAAAGUUGAUGAUCAGCGUCGGGGUACAUUACUAGCAAAGCCGGUCUGAAUGCGUCUUAAUGCUAUCUGGAAACGGGGCCUGCGCUUGGAUGUCAUCGUCACGAAGUAUCCUUAAUUCUGCCGCCUUGGGUGCACCAACUGUGGAAGCCUGACCUAGUGAGGACCCUCUCUUCCAUCCUCCGCCAUUGAACCUUUUAUCACACUUGGACAAGGUAAUGAAUUGAGGAUUUUGUUGUCAAUCAGUGAAUGUUUUUAGUUUGGGCUGCAACUAGUAUUUGAAUUAUUUUUCAGAUUAGUUUGAUAACUGCUAUAUACAGGGUGUCCGCGGGUCCUUAAAAAGUCUUAAAAUGUCUUAAGUACCAUUUUCCUAAUAAAUAUUAUUUAUUCCUUAAAUAUUUUGGUCACAUUUUCACCAAAAUAUCUUAAGUCUGAUGGACCCAAUGACUGUUUUAAAAUCACCCCCGCGGUGAUUACUGCAGCAUCAUCAGACAGAAUUGCAGUAGCAGAAUAUUGGUUGAACUAUCUUUUUUCUGUAUAUAAGUGAUUUCAGUAAUUAUAAUAAUAAAUAUAGGUCGAGCUAGCUGACCACCAACCUUCGAGCUAGUUUGUUUUAUUUUUUUGCUUGCCCGAACAGCCUGAUUAAAACUUAAGUGACAAAAAAUAAGCAGCAAGGCACCAAACUCAAGAAUCAUUCUUCUGAUUUUAACACAUGCAACGUAAACAGCGAUUGAUAAUCGAUAGUAUAUUUCUGGUAUCAAGGUCACGCUGCCUGUCUCUUUGUGAGAGACUUUUAAAACAUCACACAUAAAGAAACUCAGAAGAAACGAUUUCAAAAUGUGUAGUUUAUUUAUAACAUGAUACAGUUCAGUAACAUACAAAGGGAGCUAUUUUGCUGAAUAUUCUCAUGAUUGUAAAUGUUACAUUCAUUUUAGUUUAACAUGUAGUUAGUCAAGUAGUCCAGUUACUUACAUCUUAGACACAAUAUUUACCGUUUUGUUUCAGCAACGAAAAUGGUUCCAAUUCAAACAAGGAUCACAGAAGUAUAGCACAUUCUCCAAGCAACACUGAAUGAUUUUAUUGAAUGAUUCAUAUUUUUUUUAAGGAAUCAGUUGUAUGAAACGCUUAAUGCUCAUUCGUUAAGUGACCUACUGCCACCUGCUGGUAGUUUAGUAUGUUUAAUAGUAUGCUUUUUCACCCCAACAUUUCUUAUUUGUAUAUUCAUAAAUAUAUUUGAAACAUUAAUCUCAUAACAUUAUUUAUUGCAGUUGUGAUUUUCCAGUGUAAAUUAUUUAAUCUGACUGGUAACCGCUAUAGAAUUUAUUGAUACAUUGUAAUAAUUUGACUUGAAAGCAUACAUUUAAAAAAA